UCCAGUUAUAAUAAAACAAAGUGCUGCUCCAGUACCUGGGGCAGAAGAUGAUGGAAGGGCUUGGAAUGCUGGCAUCUUGAAACACGUGGAGAUUGGGAGAUGAGAGCUCACACCUGCCCCUCUCCCCGCCACAUUCCCAUCCAGCCACCCCAUCUCAGCUAGCCUAGCAAAGCCAAGAAACAUCUGCUUGGUCAGCUUUUCCCCAAAAGACACCUGAAGUGGAAGUACAUAAAUAAUGUAAUGACCCCACUGCUACUGGACAUUUCUACCAGACGUGCUUCGGGACAGUGUGUAAAGCAAGCCGGGAAGACGGCGCACACUCCCCGCGCCACAUCACCAGCGCCCUGCCUCGGUCCCCCCCGGCAGGGCCUGCUCUGCUGAGUCACUCUGGGGUUGGGGUUAGGCCGGGCAGAGGAGACAGCUGCAGGGACAGCCUCCCUCAGAGGAGGCGAGCCGAAAUGGAAACUUCUAGCUAAACAGAAUUGGUAGCUCGUCCAGCCCUCUGUUGUGUUGCCAAGGCCACCGCACGGAGCGGGGUGGGCCUGUUCUGAGGCCCUGGCAGGCUUCCCCAGGGCAGAUUUCACAGUAGUCUCUUCCUCGGCAGGAGAACUGCUUUUAUGUUAUAGGAGCAAAGAAUACCAACCUCUUGAGGCAGGUAUGCUUCACAAGACAGAAGAUGGGAGAUGGCUGCACUUCAGCAGGUUCAGGGACCCCUUCUGAAAGCUUGGCUGAAGAUUCACAUGUCGCUGAGCAGGGGAAGAAAUGUGCCUCCACCUGAAACUAAUCACGCAGCUGGGCCCAGAUGAGAAAACAUCUGCUGCAGAAAGAAAUAAGUAAGAGCCGUGAGGGAUCCUUGCAAGGCCAUGAGGUCCAGGGGGAAGAGAUGUUAGACUGGAGCAGGCUUGUCCCUCCUUCUCUCUCCAGCUCUUCUCCCCAGGGCUGCUCUGGCGGCAGAACCAGAUGGAAAUGUCACCAAAUGCAGAGUGUUUUAUUCAUCCUGGUCUGCACCCUACCUUAGACGGCACAAUUCCUUGGCAACACAAUGCAGACAGAGGAUUUUUUCAUUUUUAAUUGAAUCCUAAGAGGUAUAUUUGUUUCUAGAGGUGCCAGCUUAAAGUAAUUACUGGAAUUCCCAACAGGGCUAAUCAGAGAUUCAUAGAAAAUAAAGAUGGAGAAGAAGACCUAACCCCCCGGGUUUCUGUCAUUCUGCUCAGAAACUCUUUCCAUCCAUGGCCGCCAUCCCAGUUCUUGGCACUGUGGGCUAUUAAAAGGAGCCUUGACAUAAAUCCCUGCCCAGGGAGAUAAGAGAAAACUGAUUUCACUGCUUGGGUAUCUUUCCUCUGGUGACCAGACACCUUCUGUUUUCA